UUCUCUACAUCAUACUGCAAUGGUCAGUCAUUAUUGUUAAAAAAAUAGUAAGAAUAAUUAGCAUUUUUACAAAAACUACCAUAAAAACUUUAACAAAACCAUUUUUUUAUUUGAAGUAUUUACCCAAAAUUUUCGAAUUACCAGGAUUUUGUAUUAAUAUUGUAAAAAUAAAAUAAAAUGAUGUAUUUGUUCUGUUUUAGACAUACCCCAUUCCAAGUAUAGAUCUUCUGAAAGCUAUGCAAACUAGUGGGCUGAAAUUUAUUGGUGUUCCUGGUCAGCUGAACUUCUUAGAAACCUACAUUCUUUCUCGUCUGUCACUCACUUUUAAGGAGGUUGGAGACACAUUGGGAGAACUCAGGCAAAAAAUCAGAAGUUUUUUGGUCAAUGUAGAAAAAGUAUACAAGAAAAAUUCCUACCACAUUGACAGGCUCUUUGAAAGUGCAACAAAAGGAAGCUUUCUCUCCAAGGAUUUUAUUCUUCCUGAUAAACUUCUUAAAAAAGUUGAGGGACCCGUCUCAACCUAAGAAAUCAAAGGUAGGGUGACCUUCAAAAGACUUUGAACAUAAAUCUCUCCGUGGGAAGCAACUUUCAAGUGCAGAAAUUUGUACCAAUCAUGAAAAUGGUGCCAUCUUGUUAGCUGCAGCUCAAUUUGCAACAAAACUGGGGUUUAUGGUCCACAAACUACUAAAUCAGCCUGAAGAGGUUGUCAACAAUACCUUGAAGGCAGCUCUGGAAGCUCCUCUAAUGAUGUCUGUCCUAAAAACACCAACUACUGCCCUUGCCUUCAUCCUCAACAACAAUAUUUCAAGAGAACAUAUUGCCAACUAAAAGAGGAAUGUGCUGAAAACUUUUCUAACAUCUGGCCAAAUUAUAAUGUUGUUCUUGAAACAAAAAAAGAUUGCAGACCUGAUGGAAUUAAAGGAGAUGCACUGACAGCAAAAGUUCCACUUUAAAAUCUUUUGAACCAAUUAGGUUUUGAAAAUUUAAUAUCUGAAGAUGGCAUAGUUCCUGAAUAUCACUAACAAACGAAUGUUGAAAUAACGGGUGUUGCAGUUGUGAAAAGAUAAUGUCUGCAGUUGUUUUGUUAUUAAGAAGUCGAAGGAACAAGUUUAACUUAUUUUGUUGAACACUUUUUGAAAUUUCCUGGAUUUUAAAUAACGAA